GAAAUGAAAAAUGAUAAUGAAAAAUGUAAUAAAAGUAUAAAGAAAUUAUCAAUAAAAAUGGAAUGUAAACUUGGAAAGAAAAGAAAUUAAGUAAAACUAUACAAAUAAAUUUCUUAUAUUAUAUAUUAUAUAUAAAGCAAUAAAUAUUAUAUGAACGAAAGGGAAUACGGUUCCAAUUCCGUAACCUGUUAAGUAUACGUUUGUUAUUAAAAAUGGGCUUUAAUGCUCAUCGUGGCAACACAAACAAUCAUAAAGAAACCGUCGAGAGGUAUCGGAAGAGUUUUCUUUUCUGUUUAUAGUUGUAUUACCAUGGAAGUCUUUCGAAGAGAGAUAUGGUAAAUGAACUAGAAGAGCAUAGCAUAUACUGCUGUGUCGAUAUUUUCUCCUCGGGCCUUGAAAAUUUAUGGUAGGGUUACGCAAACUUCUUAACAGGCCGUACCAAUAUCCGCAGCUGGUCUCCAAGGUGAAGGUCUCUAGUCGAUAGAAUAAUGUAGUAAGGAAGUCGGCAAAUUAGAUCCGUAACUUCGGGAUAAGGAUUGGCUCUGAAGAUUGAGAUAAUCGGGCUUGAUUGGGAAGCAAUAAAGUGGAUUUAUGUACUCAUUCUGAGUUAAAAUAUGAAUUUAUAUGAUUUACAUUGUUUUAAUUCUGUUUCUCGGAUAGAAGUUUAUGUAACCUAUUUGUGGAACUUUCUUGCUAAUAAUAUAUCUUAAUGAUUUCAUUGUUUAUAUUUAUAACGGCUAUCAAUUAACAAUCAAUUCAGAACUGGCACGGACUUGGGGAAUCCGACUGUCUAAUUAACACAAAGCAUUGUGAUGGCCCUAACGGGUGUUGACACAAUGUGAUUUCUGCCCAGUGCUCUGAAUGUCAAAGUGAAGAAAUUCAAGUAAGCGCGGGUAAACGGCGGGAGUAACUAUGACUCUCUUAAGGUAGCCAAAUGCCUCGUCAUCUAAUUAGUGACGCGCAUGAAUGGAUUCACGAGA
rnacentral:rRNA from 1 species